rnacentral:lncRNA from 1 species
AAUAAUAUAUGUCUAACGUCUAUGAACCUCAUUAAAGUCCUAACUCUAAAGUUUACUGUGUAACUAGUUAGUAGAGAAACACUAUGUUUUAAUUAGGUUGGAUUUAAAUAGGGGAAAGUCCAUCAGGAUGAAAUUCUUAUUAUAUUAUUGUUGCAAUUUUGUUAAAUCACAAAUCACCACAGGAAAAUAAGAAUGGAAAAUAGGAAUAAUAAGCAAAUAAUCAGGAAAGACUGAGGAAAACUGAAUAACAAAACAAGAGGAAAGACGAGGUCACCGGAGAAACAAUCCACGUUCUCUGGCGCAGACAUGGACAUUGUUUUCCCAGGAAAGCCCCAGUUCUUCCCCGUCAACAUCAGCGUGAGAGCCGUGUAGCCUGAGGCCUGCCCUCGGCUUGUCCCCUACAGGCAGGCUCUCAUCCCGACCAGAGGCCCACCUUCGGCUUGUGCCGGGCAGGCGAGCUCCCUUCCUUGGUUAGGAACCUGCCUUCAGGUGUUCUUUUUUGCCAUCAGGCAAGGUCCUUUUUUUUGAGUCCCUGCAUCUGCUCGGCUCCCUGCACUCAUGGUUCCUAGUUGGAUUCUUUGGCCACUGAGCCACUUUGGGAACUCCUUAUACUUAUUUUUCAUAUUUAAAUCAUUGAUUUACUGCCAUUCCUUGUGAUUGUGUGGUAGAAUCAUAUAGUAUUUACUCUUGUGUCUCACUUGUUUGAUUUAACAUGUUUGUGUAAUUCAUCAAGUUUGUGUGCCUCUCUGGCAUUUUCUCAUUGCUGAGGUGGUGUUUCAUUGUGUGAAUAUUAUCACAAUUUUCACUGUUGAUGGACAUUUUUUACAACAGUUUUGGCCUGUGUCAGGGGUCUCCAAGACCAUCCCCAGGUUCAGGGACUCGUUCAGAGGACUCACAGGAAUUGACGUUUUUUAUGUUUGUUGUUUUUUUAAGGGCCACACCUGUAGCACAUGGAGGUUCCCAGGCUAGGGGUCUAAUCGGAGCUGUAACCGCCGGCCUACGCCACAGCCACAGCAAUGCCGGAUCCUUACCUCACUGAGUGAGGCCAGGGAUCAAACCUGCAUCCUCCUGGAUACUAGUCAGUUUUGUUUCCGCUGAGCCAUGGUGGGAGCUCCAGGAAUUAACUUACGUGCAUGCUCAUGGUGUGUCUUACUGUGGGGAAAGAAUACAAAGCAAAAUUCGCAAAGAGAAAAACACAUGGGGUGAAGUCAGAGAUAAACCCGGAGCAAACUUCCAGGAAUCUUUCCCAGUGGAGUCACGCUGAAUGCGUUUAAUUUUCCCAGUAGUGCGUUGUGACGACACAUGUGACAUGGUACCUGCCGGGGAAGCUUAGAGAUAGUGCCUGAAACACCCUUGGCCUCGUCGCAAUUCAUGACUUUUAGAAGUCAAGUCGGGUUUGACAUAAACUAUCCUGAGAUCCAAGUUUCCAGGUGCUAAGGGCCAACUGUGUAAGCAGGCUUUUUCUUUCUCUGUCUCUCUCUCUCUUUCUGCUUUUGAGGGCCUCUUUUACACACCGUGUUUUAUGAAUAAUGCUUCUGUGAUCGCUCAUGAAUCUCUUGGUGUUUGGGGGAGGGCAUCCUUUGUUGAGUCUGUCUCCUGAGGUGGGUUUCAGAGUCUCAGGCUAUGUGUAAGUUCACGUGCGGAGACAGUGCCAGGCCAGUCACACAAAGCUACGCUGCACGCCCGCCCGUGCACAGAAGUCACGUUGUCCUGUGUCGUUACCAACACGCUUGUGUUGACGGUGGUGUUAAUUAUAGCCUUUACAGUAUGUGUUUAUGGAUGGCCGCUUGUGGUUCUCUUUUGUAAUAUCCUUAGUGUUUUGUUUUGUUUUUCCCUUUUGGAGGGCUGCACCUGCCGCAUAUGGAAGUUCCCAGGCUAGGGGUCGAAUCAGAGCUACAGCUGUCGGCCUACACCACAGCCACAGCAAUGCUGGAUCCUUAACCCACUGAGUGAGGCCAGGGAUCAAACCUGCAACCUCAUGGUUCCUAGUCGAUUCGUUUCCAGUGCGCCACUAUGGGAACUCCCUGUAAUAUCCCUGUUAUCAGUGAGAUUGAGCACCUUUUCACAUAGUUGGGAGAUACUUCAGUAACCUCUUGGGAGAAGGUCCUAUUCAAGGCUCUUGUUCAUUUUCUGUUAGUUGCCUUUUUCUUGCCGAUUUGUAGAGAGUUCUUUAUAUAAUCUGGGUGUAAACCAUUCUCCCACUUUGGCUUGCUGUAUGACUCCCUUAAUGAUGUCUUAAAGAUUCUUUUAGAGUUCCCCUUGUGGCUCAGUGGAAACAAACCUGACUAGUAUCCAUGAGGACGUGGGUUCCAUCCCUGGCCUCGCUCAGUGGGUUAAGGAUCCAGUGUUGCUGCAAGUUGUGGUGUAGGUCUCAGAUGUGGCUUGGAUCUGGAGUUGGCUGUGGCUGUGGUGUAGGCUGGCAGCUAUAGCUCCGAUUUGACCCCUAACCUGGGAA